CUUAAAAUUAAAUUUUGUGUUAACUACAGUCAGGUUGGUGAACACGUAUUUUUCCCAAAUACGAUUUUAAUAUAAACACGCAAGAGUCGCGCAACGAGAUUCUGACCCCAGAUCAGUUCCCACGACUUAACUCUCACUGUUUGCCUCUGACGAGCGUGCUGGGAAGCAGGCUUGGGACCUGCAGUAGCGACCGGCUGUCGCCUCGGGAAAGCGGGCUUUUAUUGCGGGUUGCAGGUAUCAGGUAUCCGACCCCGGUCCCCGCUGCUGCUCACACUUCACUCGGCAAGGACGGCCUGGGGACUGCAGCUCGGACCGGAUGGCCAGAUUGCAGGAGAAAAUAGGACUUGUUCAGAUUUCCAUUCGUUCGUUCGACCUCGUCUGACGAUGGAAACUUACCACUGACUCAGGAAAUCCGUGCAGCUCUUCCUUUCUUCAGAUACAGCAAGCAUGAAGGCCCAUGAGGGAGAGCUGUUGAGGGAGAUCUCCAAGUUGCAGGGUAUCGUGACGGAGCUGAAGGCUGGUUUCUCCAGGGCUCUGGUGGAACUCAGUCACAUCCAGCAUGGGGACAGACAUCUGCAGAACCAGCUACAGGACGCCCAGAACUGCUGCCACAAACGGGCCCUCCACCUGGAGGCCCUGGUGCAGUCUUUAAGGGAGGAGCUUGGGGAGGUGCGUGAUCAAAUACAUCAGCUGUGUGGCAACCGGAUAAAACCAGACCAUGAAAAGAAAGCGCCAGAGACAGACGAAUCCGGAACACUGGGCUCAAGAGUCACACAGAGAGACAGAGUCGAGAGGUGCCAGUGUAACGGAUCAGCCGGUUCAGCUCUGAGAGCCAGUCUCCUGCUCCACUGCUACCUACAGGGCCUCCGUGCUGUACUGUGCCAAAGCUCAGACGCCUCCCUCAACGGUCAGGUCGUGCCGAAGUGCGUGCGGGUUCCGCAGACUGUGAUUGGCUCCUGGCCAGCAGAGGUGCCACGCCCCUGCUCGCUGGAGGGUAAGAGGCAGCAGGUGACCGUGCAGCUGCUGCAGUCAGAGUGGGAGUAUGUGUCCAGCCUCGGUCAGCUUUACGACAAAUACAAAACCCUGCCCACGCUCCGAAACCAGCUGGACCAGCACAAAGUGUUUCUGAAACAUGUGGAGCAGCUGCUGCAGUGCCAUCUAGUGUUCAGGAACGCUUUGGAAGAGCGACUGGCAGCAGACCAGUGGAGGUGUCUGGUCGGGGAUGUGUUUGCCAAACUCACGUGCCACAACGAGGCUGGCUUUUCUGAAGCUUAUCUUGGGUACAUGAGCUCCUUGCCAGGCAUCCUCAGCACAGAGAUCAGCAGAAUAAAGCCUUCAACAAAGCCACAAAAUGCACAGGGUUGCCAAGAAGACGGGGCGGGGCUAAUCACAUUGCUCUUUUCACCCGUGUCCCGAAUACACAGCUACCUGAGCGUGAUACAGAACCUGCUGGAUUGGACUGGGGGAGACCAUCCCGACCGCCAUCUGCUCCUUGAUGCACAAAGACUUCUGGGACACAUCCGCUCACGCUUUCACAUGAUCCUGGAGCAGAGUGUCAGAUUGGAGGAGAAUGAGGUUUCAACCUUGAGGUGUGAAAUCCCAAGCCCUGACUGCCCCUCGGCCUUCACCAAAUACACUCCCAUCUCCAGAAACAGCCACGCACACACACACACACACAACCACACAAUCUGUCACGAGCACCGCGAGGAGAGACAGCCUGCCACCACUCAGGUCGCUCCUGACCUCGCCACCCUGUCUCGCUGUACCCGGGUAUGUCGCCCUGUGCCCGCCGCGGGGGGCUCUGCCACGUGGGCGCCCCCACCUGACGGUCGGGAGAAGGGGGGAGACGUCCGGUUCCUCCUGCACCGUGCUGAAGCGGGAGGGAACGCAGCGGCUGACAUUGACCCUGGACAGGGCACCUCAGCCUGUGCACUGAAUAUGUGUCCCCAUGAGAUCUACCAUAUGAACAGGCACCUGCUGGACUUCGAAACAGAUGCGGAGGACCUGGGGGACACGUCCGUCUUCGAUUACUCCUCCGUCACCUCCUGCAGCCCUGAUGACACACUUGACCAGCAGAGUCACGGGAGAGGAGGGGAGGAGAGCCGAGAGGACGAGGAGGAGGAAGAGGAGGACAGCCAGAUCCCGGUCCUCCUCAAACCCUCCUACACCCACCCGCGCCUGCAGUCCAACGCCCCCCGAACACACUCUCACCGAGAAGGGACGGUGUGCACAAGGUGGCAGAUCCCACGGGCAGCGCAGGACCCCGCCGCUCACACACACCUCCAGCGUGUGCUGGAGUUCGGCGGCGGGGAGCGGGUGUGCCUGGCGGCAGGCGCCAGUGAGGCGAGGCAAGGCGCGGUUAAGAUGCAGCGGCAGCUUUCCAGGGCUUUCCGGCCCAUCUGGGAUCAGCCCUACAGACAGGCAGAUGAGACUCCUGCUAAGGACCAAUCUCAGAGAACAGCGGUGCCACAGGUACACCCAGGACCCAGCAUGCAGCAUGACAGGGAGGGAAGGAGGUCAUUUAGUGGCACACAGGGAAAUGGAGAUGUCUGGAAUGAGAGUGAGGACAGCGAGGGACCCUGCAGCAAUGUUUAA
rnacentral:lncRNA from 1 species